AUUGUAGCUUACGGCUACACUAAAGAGUCGUUUAGACCGAGAUAGUUGUUUAACUGUGAUUCGAAAAGGUACAUGAAGGUAAUGUAUAAUGAAGAAGGUUCGAUGUUGGAAGUUUGUUGUAUGCUUUAUACUAGUUGUAUCGCGGCGAGGACGAUCAACUUUGUAAUAUUAUAGUUAAUAGUUAAUUUGUAAUUAAAUUAAAAAGGUUUGAGUUUGUAAAGUCUAGACUUGUUUGGGUUGCUGGAUUUUGAGGAUACAGGAUUAUGAAUCGGACGCGAGUCCUAAAUUACGUUUUA